ensembl:snoRNA LOC120096404 small nucleolar RNA SNORA17
AGUACCCCUAGAGGCAUUGCAGGUAUGGCUGUCUAUAUCACAUAUAUGUUAGUAAGUGGCACAGAGGAGAGAGAGUAAGUUUUACUUCAGUGUUCUCACCUGUGAACAUCUGAAUGAUUAUUCAUCUUACACU